rnacentral:tRNA from 1 species
UCCUCAAUAGCUCAAUGGUAGAGCAAUCGGCUGUUAACCGGUUUGUUGUAGGUUCGAAUCCUACUUGGGGAG